rfam:Prevotella sp. CAG:1092 genomic scaffold, scf514
GGUUGUGUCGAUUCGAUAGGGAUACUCAUCAAAUAACAUUGAAAACCGAUGUUGCAUCUUCUACCAAUGGCGGGCCACAAAGGGAUUUCAUAUCCCGAGCUGCAAAGUCGGUGGAUUACAAAGGAGAGGAGCACUCAAAUCUUUUAGAUUCGGAGUUUUCAUCACAUCAUCGCCACGACCCCUUUC